rnacentral:rRNA from 1 species
AUGGCCCCAGGUAUCCUCUUCGGCUUGAUCUUUCCUUUGCUUCGACCGCCAACUUGCACUUCCUUUAUUCCACUAUUGCGAUAUCUUUGUCCUGGACAAAGACCAAGAGCUGGUGCAGGUGAAAGAAUAGCUUAUGGGGCUGGAGUCAAAGGAGCUUUCAUAGACAUAGAAAUCAUUAUGGAAAGAGCAGGCCUGCGAGCAGCGAGUGCCCUUUGUAAGUUGCGAGCCUGCCUUACCGCCCCCCUUUCUUUUUUGAAUUAG